CAGCCGCCGCGGGAAUACAGAGGGUGCAAGCGUUAAUCUGAAUUACUGGGCGUAAAGCGCGCGUAGGUGGUUUGUUAAGUUGGAUGUGAAAGCCCUGGGCUCAACCUGGGAACUGCAUCCAAAACUGGCAAGCUAGAGUACGGUAGAGGGUGGAGGAAUUUCCUGUGUAGCGGUGAAAUGCGUAGAUAUAGGAAGGAACACCAGUGGCGAAGGCGACCACCUGGACUGAUACUGACACUGAGGUGCGAAAGCGUGGGGAGCAAACAGGAUUAGAUACCCCUGUAGUCCCUGUCUCUUAUAC
rnacentral:rRNA from 1 species